ACAAAAUUAACAGAAAUGAAGUUGCCCAC
rnacentral:sRNA from 1 species